GACGAGGAGGACGAAAAGGCCCUCACUGCAUUCAUGUCCAAGGAAACCUCCUCCAAACGAUCGCUUGGUGAUAUCAUCCUCCAGAAGAUCAAAGAGAAGGACGCCACUGUCUCAACAUGCUUUCUCCAUGGUUAAUAUGAAUUAUGCAAGGAUCAGAGGAAGGCGGGGAGCUGGCCUUCUCCAUGUCUCGGGGGAGAGUGUCUUCCUUGGAUUCAACAAGAAGGGGACCCGACCUUCUUCACAUCUCGUGCAACAAGGGUGAUCGACGCAGACUAGCACAGCCCGGUGGUGUCGUGCUCUUCAACCACUCGGAGACGGACUUCGCCAUGAAGCCCGAAGACUACAUCGUGCAGAUGACCAUCCAGAUGAUUGUGAAUUGUGACACCGGAGGUCGCCGAGGUGGAGGACCUCGACGCCACCGUCCGGCGGGAGGGAGGGUUCGGGUCCACCGGUGGUUGAACUCCGAAUCUUGGUAGAUACAUCUAGACAAGUGGUCUGGUUGUUUGCGUCUGAUGUUAAAUGGGAUCUCGUGAACUCUUCGAGUUGAGAUGUUCAAUGUUGCGUCCAUGAACGCUGCAAGUGCUAAGAUGGUUCUGUGAUCUUAGUUUAUUUUGCACUGGACA